rnacentral:rRNA from 1 species
CAGUAGCCGCGGGAAUACGGAGGGCGCGAGCGUUACCCGGAUUUACUGGGCGUAAAGGGCGUGUAGGCGGCCUGGGGCGUCCCAUGUGAAAGGCCACGGCUCAACCGUGGAGGAGCGUGGGAUACGCUCAGGCUAGAGGGUGGGAGAGGUGGUGGAAUUCCCGGAGUAGCGGUGAAAUGCGCAGAUACCGGGAGGAACGCCGAUGGCGAAGGCAGCCACCUGGUCCACUUCUGACGCUGAGGCGCGAAAGCGUGGGGAGCAAACCGGAUUAGAUACCCCCGUAGUCCCUGUCUCUUAUACA